rnacentral:rRNA from 1 species
AUUGAACGCUGGCGGCAGGCCUAACACAUGCAAGUCGAGCGAGUGGCGGGCGGUUGAGUAAUGUCUGGGAAUCUGCCUGAUAGAGGGGGAUAACUACUGGAAACGGUGGCUAAUCCCGCAUACUAUCGGAUGUGCCCAGAUGGGAUUAGCUAGUAGUGGGGGUAAAGGCUCACCUAGGAGACGAUCCCUAGCUGGUCUGAGGGGAUGAUCAGCAACACGGGGAAUGAGACACGGUCCAGAAGCCUACGGGAGGCAGCAGUGGGGAAUAUUGCACAAUGGGCGCAAGCCUGAUGCAGCCAUGCCGCGUGUAUGAAGAAGGCCUUAGGGUUGUAAAGUACUUUCAGCGGGGAGGCGUUACCCGCAGAAGAAGCACCGGCUAACUCCGUGCCAGCAGCCGCGGUAAUAC